rnacentral:rRNA from 1 species
CCUACGGGUGGCAGCAGUGAGGAAUAUUGGUCAAUGGACGAGAGUCUGAACCAGCCAAGUAGCGUGAAGGAUGACUGCCCUAUGGGUUGUAAACUUCUUUUAUAAAGGAAUAAAACGAGGCACGUGUGCCUUUUUGCAUGUACUUUAUGAAUAAGGAUCGGCUAACUCCGUGCCAGCAGCCGCGGUAAUACGGAGGAUGCGAGCGUUAUCCGGAUUUAUUGGGUUUAAAGGGUGCGUAGGCGGACAGUCAAGUCAGUGGUAAAAAUGCGGUGCUCAACGCCGUACAGCCGUUGAAACUGGCAGUCUUGAGUGGGCGAGAAGUAUGCGGAAUGCGUGGUGUAGCGGUGAAAUGCUUAGAUAUCACGCAGAACCCCGAUUGCGAAGGCAGCCUGCCAAGCCAUGACUGACGCUGAUGCACGAAAGCGUGGGGAUCAAACAGGAUUAGAUACCCCGGUAGUC